UACGUAGGGGGCGAGCGUUGUCCGGAUUUAUUGGGCGUAAAGAGCUCGUAGGCGGCUUGGCAAGUCGGGUGUGAAAACCCGAGGCUCAACCUCGGGCCUGCAGUGGGUACGGGCAGACUAGAGUGCGGUAGGGGAGAUUGGAAUUCCUGGUGUAGCGGUGGAAUGCGCAGAUAUCAGGGAGGAACACCGAUGGCGAAGGCAGAUCUCUGGGCCGAUACUGCCGCUGAGGAGCGGAAGCGUGGGGAGCGAACAGG
rnacentral:rRNA from 1 species